CCGCCUGGGGAGUACGGCCGCAAGGUUAAAACUCAAAUGAAUUGACGGGGGCCCGCACAAGCGGUGGAGCAUGUGGUUUAAUUCGAUGAUACGCGAGGAACCUUACCUGGGCUUAAAUGGGAAAUGACAGUUUAGGAAACUAGACCUUCUUCGGACAUUUUUCAAGGUGCUGCAUGGUUGUCGUCAGCUCGUGCCGUGAGGUGUCGGGUUAAGUCCCAUAACGAGCGCAACCCCUAUCUUUAGUUGCCAGCGAGUAAUGUCGGGGACUCUAGAGAAACUGCCGGUGCAAACCGAGAGGAAGGUGGGGAUGACGUCAAAUCAUCACGGCCCUUACGUCCAGGGCUACACACGUGCUACAAUGGCGAGUACAGAGGGAAGCGAGACAGUGAUGUGGAGCGGACCCCUUAAAGCUCGUCGUAGUCCGGAUCGGAGUCUGCAACUCGACUCCGUGAAGUCGGAAUCGCUAGUAAUCGCAGGUCAGCAUACUGCGGUGAAUACGUUCCCGGGCCUUGUACACACCGCCCGUCACACCAUGGGAGUGGGAUGCAAAAGAAGUGGAUAGUCUAACCUUCGGGAGGACGUUCACCACUUUGUGUUUCAUGACUGGGGUGAAGUCGUAACAAGGUAACCCUAGGGGAACCUGGGGUUGGAUCACCUC
rnacentral:rRNA from 9 species